CAUCCUAGUGAGGGGGAAGGGAAAGCUGGCCAGGAGGUCUCUACCCCGUUUCUCUUAAAGAUUGGGGAGGGGGCCCUCACUGGGGGCAAGAUGCCAAUUCCUUCAUGGGCUCCCUCUUUUCUGGUUUGACUCUUGCAGUGCUGGGUCCCUGGGGUUGCCCACUCCCCACCCAACCUCUGUGGGGACUGCCCAGGGUCCUGAGCCAGAUUGGAACAAGAGGAACAGAAGCCAAGAAAAAACCAAGUUUUGUUGAAGACUCACAGUUGCAGCUUCUUGAGGCUGGGGAUGGAGAAUUCUGCAUUGGAGCAGCGCCUGAGGAAGGAGUAUCAACAAUGACUUGAGCAAGGCAGAGUUCAUCUUUGGAAGCAGAAAACUUUCACAAUCUGUUUCUAAUCGACCGGAUCAGAAGAGCCAAAGCCCAAGCUUCCACGAAAGAACUAGAACACAGAGCCAGCCAGGGCUCUGAAUUGGAAAUUUCUUUGAGGAGUCCAUCUCCCUUGGCUCUUUGCUCAUCCCCCUUCUGCUCUUUCACUUUGCUCAUGACCGACUCUCUCCUCUUCCCCUGUUCAUCCACCUCUGAAGUCCUCAGGUUGAAAGGUACCUAGAGAGACCACCUGGUCCAACCCCUGCCUCAUCCAGGGCCACGCCUUCACCAAUCUUUCGCAUUUAUUGAGCACUCACUGUGCAGAGCACUGUACUAUGCAUUUGGCAGAGUACAAUACAACAGAAUUGGUAGGCACGAUACCUGCCCAUAAGGUGCUUACAAUCUAGAGCGGGAGACGGACAAUAUAAAUAAAUUAUGGAUCUGUAUGUAAAAGCUGUAAGGCUGAGAGUGGGGUGAUUGAAGAGUGCAAAUCCAAGUGUAAGGGUGAUGCUGAAGGAAGUGGGAGAAGAGGAAACAAUAAAAAUUAUGAUAUUUAAGUGCUUACUUUGUGCCAGGCACUGUUCUAAACUCUGGGAUAGAUAUAAAAUAAUUGGGUUGGGCACAGUCUCUGUCCCACACGGGGCUCACAAUCUUAAUCCCCAUGAUUUACAGAUUUACAGAUGAGAGAACUGAGGCACAGAUAACUUAGUCAGGGGAGGCCUCUUAGAGAAGACGUGUUUUUAGUAAGGCUUUGAAGGUGGGGAGAGUGAUCGUCUGACCGAUAUGAAAGAGGAGGGAGUUUCAGGCCAGAGGCAAGAGGUGGGAGUGAUUAUUUCUGGAAGAUUCUCCAAGGUGACAUUGACUGCCAUUAUCGGGGCAUAGCCAACCCCCACUGCCCCCCGCAUUCCCGGAGGAAGUUCUUCCUGAAGUCUAACCUCUAUUUCUCUUGUUGCAGUCAGAGCUCUUUCCCUCUCAUUGGAGCUGAAGAAAAGCUGUCUUAUCCUGACACUUUCCUCCAACUCCCUUUCCAAAUAAGGCUCUUCUG
rnacentral:lncRNA from 1 species